CGCCGUCGUCCGGGCGCACGUCGGUCGGAGAACGGGUGGUUGAAGAGUUAAUAGGAUGGACUGGUCGUAAAGCUACCGCAAGCGGUCUGGCCAGUCGGGUGUGAAAUACCCGGGGUCAACCUGGGAACUGCAUACGAAACUGGCAGGCUAGAGUCUUGUAGAGGGGAGUAGAAGUCCAGGUGUAGCGGUGAAAUGCGUAGAGAUCUGGAGGAAUACCGGUGGCGAAGGCGGCCCCCUGGACAAAGACUGACGCUCAGGUGCGAAAGCGUGGGGAGCAAACAGGAUUAGAUACCUGGUAGUC
rnacentral:rRNA from 1 species